ensembl:lncRNA
GUUUUUUGCCCUCGCUGAUUUAAAAUAAUCAACUAAUCAUCACGCUGUGUAGUGUUGGGGCAAAUAACUAAACGUGCACCUCUUGGAGGCCUGAGGCCCGAGUUUGGGGAAACUCUGCUUUAUUUACAUUGAACUACUAAUAGUGAUUUAGUCAGAUUAGAGCCCUAUAGAGGUGGUGUAGUGAGACAGCAGCUCUAUAGAGGUGGUUUAGUCAGACUAGAGCCCUAUAGAGGUGGUUUAGUGAGACAGCAGCUCUAUAGAGGUGGUUUAGUGAGACCGCAGCUCUAUAGAGGUGGUUUAGUCAGACUAGAGCUCUAUAGAGGUGGUUUAGUCAGACUAGAGCUCUAUGGAGGUGGUUUAGUCAGACUAGAGCUCUAUGGAGGUGGUUUAGUCAGACUAGAGCUCUAUGGAGGUGGUUUAGUCAGACUAGAGCUCUAUGGAGGUGGUUUAGUCAGACUAGAGUUCUAUGGAGGUGGUUUAGUCAGACUAGAGCUCUAUGGAGGUGGUUUAGUCAGACAGCGGCUCUAUGGAGGUGGUUUAGUCAGACUAGAGUUCUAUGGAGGUGGUUUAGUCAGACAGCAGCUCUAUAGAGGUGGUUUAGUCAGACAGCGGCUCUAUAGAGGUGGUUUAAUCAGGCAGCGGCUCUAUAGAGGUGGUUUAAUCAGACUAGAGCCCUAUAGAGGUGGUUUAGUCAGACAGCAGCUCUAUAGAGGUGGUUUAGUCAGACUAGAGCUCUAUAGAGGAGAGGUGGUUUAGUCAGACAGCAGCUCUAUAGAGGAGAGGUGGUUUAGUCAGACAGCAGCUCUAUAGAGGAGAGGUGGUUUAGUCAGACAGCAGCUCUAUAGAGGUGGUUUAGUCAGACAGCAGCUCUAUAGAGGUGGUUUAGUCAGACAGCGGCUCUAUAGAGGUGGUUUAGUCAGACAGCGGCUCUAUAGAGGUGGUUUAGUCAGAC